rnacentral:rRNA from 1 species
CGUGCUUAACACAUGCAAGUCGAACGGAAAGGCCCUGCUUUUGUGGGGUGCUCGAGUGGCGAACGGGUGAGUAACACGUGAGUAACCUGCCCUUGACUUUGGGAUAACUUCAGGAAACUGGGGCUAAUACCGGAUAGGAGCUCCUGCUGCAUGGUGGGGGUUGGAAAGUUUCGGCGGUUGGGGAUGGACUCGCGGCUUAUCAGCUUGUUGGUGGGGUAGUGGCUUACCAAGGCUUUGACGGGUAGCCGGCCUGAGAGGGUGACCGGCCACAUUGGGACUGAGAUACGGCCCAGACUCCUACGGGAGGCAGCAGUGGGGAAUAUUGCACAAUGGGCGGAAGCCUGAUGCAGCAACGCCGCGUGCGGGAUGACGGCCUUCGGGUUGUAAACCGCUUUCGCCUGUGACGAAGCGAGAGUGACGGUAAUGGGUAAAGAAGCACCGGCUAACUACGUGCCAGCAGCCGCGGUGAUACGUAGGGUGCGAGCGUUGUCCGGAUUUAUUGGGCGUAAAGGGCUCGUAGGUGGUUGAUCGCGUCGGAAGUGUAAUCUUGGGGCUUAACCCUGAGCGUGCUUUCGAUACGGGUUGACUUGAGGAAGGUAGGGGAGAAUGGAAUUCCUGGUGGAGCGGUGGAAUGCGCAGAUAUCAGGAGGAACACCAGUGGCGAAGGCGGUUCUCUGGGCCUUUCCUGACGCUGAGGAGCGAAAGCGUGGGGAGCGAGCAGGCUUAGAUACCCUGGUAGUCCACGCUGUAAACGGUGGGUACUAGGUGUGGGGUCCAUUCCACGGGUUCCGUGCCGUAGCUAACGCUUUAAGUACCCCGCCUGGGGAGUACGGCCGCAAGGCUAAAACUCAAAGGAAUUGACGGGGCCCCGCACAAGCGGCGGAGCAUGCGGAUUAAUUCGAUGCAACGCGUAGAACCUUACCUGGGUUUGACAUGGAUCGGGAGUGCUCAGAGAUGGGUGUGCCUCUUUUGGGGUCGGUUCACAGGUGGUGCAUGGCUGUCGUCAGCUCGUGUCGUGAGAUGUUGGGUUAAGUCCCGCAACGAGCGCAACCCUUGUUCACUGUUGCCAGCACGUUAUGGUGGGGACUCAGUGGAGACCGCCGGGGUCAACUCGGAGGAAGGUGGGGGUGACGUCAAGUCAUCAUGCCCCUUAUGUCCAGGGCUUCACGCAUGCUACAAUGGCUGGUACAGAGAGUGGCGAGCCUGUGAGGGUGAGCGAAUCUCGGAAAGCCGGUCUCAGUUCGGAUUGGGGUCUGCAACUCGACCUCAUGAAGUCGGAGUCGCUAGUAAUCGCAGAUCAGCAACGCUGCGGUGAAUACGUUCCCGGGGCUUGUACACACCGCCCGUCAAGUCAUGAAAGUUGGUAACACCCGAAGCCGGUGGCCUAACCGUUGUGGGGGAGCCGUCGAAGGUGGGACUGGUGAUUAGG